AAGGUCCUCCACCUCUGGGGGACGGUCUGGUCUGGAGGCACGUCCGGAAUCGGAGGGGCUCGAACCUCAGAAUUUCUGCGUCUGUGCCCGGGAACCUGCCAUGGACCAGAGAGCAGACCGCAGGGGACUGACGUGCGCUGCCCACUCGGCUGCAGGAAGGACAUGCUCUCUGGACUCACGGAGGGCCUGGGGAAAUCUGGAGAGGACUGCGACAGGAAUGAUUGAUGACAAAGUCAAGGCCGGAGUCCUUGAGACACGUGGGACCCUGGCCUGGACCCUGGAGAGCUGAGCAUCUUGCAAGAGAAGACAUGCAGUCCUCCUCGCCGCUCUGCACUCAGGGACGGUGUGGCGGUGGCUGGAAUCCGACAGAUGGACAUGGAUUCAUAGACAAAGAUGCGUAGACACGGAUGCUUGGGUGAAUUCAUAGACAAAGACACAUAGAAACGGAUGCAUGGGUGGAUUCAUAGACAAAGAUGUGUAGACACGGAUACAUGAGUGAAUUCACAAAGAUGUGUAGAAAUGGAUGCAUGGGUGAAUUCACAAAGACACGUAGACACGGAUGCAUGGGUGAAUUCAUAGACAAAAACACAUAGACAUGGAUGCAUGGGUGGAUUCACAGACAAAGACACACAGACACGGAUUCAUGGGUGAAUUUGUAGACAAAGACAUGUAGACACAGAUGCAUGGGUGGAUUCAUAGACAAAGAUGCAUAGACAUGGAUGUGUGGGUGGAUUCACAGACAAAGACGCACAGACACGGAUGCAUGUAUGUGGACACACUUUAUGGGUGCCGGGACCACAGAAACAGGCACGCUCUACAUCAGGGCUCUCCCCAGCCUGCCAAGAGCCAGUUGUAAGGCAUUUACCAAGUACGCCUCGACUAAAAGCCUUCUCUAUCCUUAAUUCAAGUGGGCUGCUUUACUGGUUUUGGUUCUCACUUGAAACUCCUGCAGGAUGGCCUGUCCCAUAGCCGACCUUGGGAUCUGACAUGUGUCUGCUGCCUUGCCUUGUCCCUGCAGGUCUGCUGAAGUCACCACAUGUCGGGCAGCUCUUCCCCCCACUGGGGAAAGGACGACCCCACUUCUCUCCCUGUCCCCCGCGAAGUCAGCCUCUGACACUCUGAACCCAGUGUUGCACCUUAUUCCUCCCAAAUAACUUCCCACUGCUUCUCUGCAAUGCUCCAUCACUUAUCAGCUUCAUGGCCUUGAUAGUC